UUCUAUAGCCAACGGGAGCGUUAUCCUAGCUUUCUACCUACGUGAUUCAUGGCACGCAAAUGUAAACAACUGUCGGAAACGGCUGUACUUAACAAAUUAGAAAAAAAAAAGAGGACGAACGCUCCAUCGCAUGGUCUAGGGUUUACGACUCAUUGCUGCAACUUGUUGUUGUUGCUAUCCAGCAUUUUAUUUUGUUCGCCCGUUCGUAAGCUACAUCCAGAACGCCUUCGGCGGUUUUACUUCGAGCCCAUGGAGAAUUUUUUAAUCACGUCGCUCUCCACAUAGUCGGAUCUGAAAGGUGAAUCGAAACAGAAGAGCCUUGCAUUUGCUGUCAACAUGAUUGUGGAAAUCUGUUUAUUGGCUCUCUCCAUUGUUUUAAUAUUCCAGUUAUCGAGAAAGCCAAAAAACUUUCCCCCAGGACCGAUGGGAUUGCCUUUUAUUGGAUAUUUACCUUUUGUGAACAAACUCGAUCCUUAUGUGCAUAAAGCAAUGAAAAAAUUAGCAGAAAUCCACGGACCAGUGACUGGAUUUUAUUUGGGCCCAUUUCAGCCUUUCAUUUCGGUUUGCGGGUAUGAAGCCGUUAAAGAAGCGCUACAUAAUGAAGAUCUCAAUGGUCGUCCAUCUAGCGGGACGAUCACGGAAAGAACGUUUGGCAAAAAGCUCGGUAUAAUGUUUACAGAUGGCGACUUUUUACGUGAGCAGCGGCGGUUCACGCUCCGCCAUCUUCGUGAUUUAGGAUUUGGACGAACUUCAUCGGAGAAUCUCAUCCACGAAGAAAUCCAUGAACUGAUUGAAGAGAUAAAAAUUUCUGCCAGUUCCCAUCCUGAUUCCGUAGUCGAUUUCAAAGCCUUGUUCAAUCCUACCUUAAUCAAUAUCCUGUGGGCAUUUAUUGCUGGUAAACGGUACAAGCAUAAUGACGAGGAACUAAAUCGUUUGUUGCAUAUGGUCGACUUAUUUGUUGCGAGCGGAAACAAUGUGAGAUCAAACUUGCCUAUACCUGCUGUUCUGCUUCGUAACUUUCCCAUUUUAAAAAAGAUUAUUGGCUUGCGCACUGAUAUGUUUGUUCCUAUCCAGAAUUUCAUUCGAGCCGCCAUAGAUGAGCAUGAAGAGAACCCUUCUGAGGACGAUCCUCGUGAUUUUAUCGAUGUUUAUCUUUCUGAAGCGAAGAAACAUGAGAAAGUCAAUCCUGUGUCUACAUUUCACAAGGAGCAGCUGAUUAGUCUCAUUUUUGAUUUAUUCAUCGCUGGAGGGGAUACCACAGGCAACUCCAUUGGAUUUGUAUUGUUGUACCUCAUACACCAUCCAGAUGUCCAGCGUAAGAUGCAGGAAGAAUUAGACAGUGUUUGCGGAUCUUCCAUGCCAACCUUAGCGCAACGUCCAAGAAAUCCCCAGUUUACCCUAUACGGAAGCUGUCUUGUUGGAGGCUUCACGUUUGUCCUCUAUUGUACCGUUUUCCAUUCCCCAUUAUGCUUUAAAGGAUACCCAACUCCAAGGAAGCACUAUACCCAAAGGGAGUAUUGUACAAAUCAAUCUCUAUUCGGUUCAUUUGGAUGAAAAAUACUGGAACGAUCCUGAGGAAUUUCAACCCGAGCGACAUCUUAGUGCUGAUGGUACAACUGUUAUAAAAUCGGAUCGGAUUCUCCCGUUUGGGGCUGGUAAGCGGAUGUGUUUGGGAGAAUCGCUAGCCCGAAACACGCUUUACUUGUUCGUAACCAGUUUGGUCAAGUCUUUCCAGUUUCAAGCAAUACCGAAUGAACCUCUACCAACUCUUGAUCCUCGAAUGGGAUUCGUUCAG
rnacentral:misc_RNA from 1 species